rnacentral:tRNA from 1 species
AGUUGCUUAGCCAACGGAACGGCAAUUGUUUUGAAAACAAUAGAUAAAGGUUUGAAUCCUUUAGUAACUU